AGAACUUAGCAGAGAUGCUUUGGUGCCUUCGGGAACUCUGAGACAGGUGCUGCAUGGCUGUCGUCAGCUCGUGUUGUGAAAUGUUGGGUUAAGUCCCGCAACGAGCGCAACCCUUAUCCUUUGUUGCCAGCGGUCCGGCCGGGAACUCAAAGGAGACUGCCAGUGAUAAACUGGGAGGAAGGGUGGGGAUGACGUCAAGUCAUCAUGGCCCUUACGAGUAGGGCUACACACGUGCUACAAUGGCGCAUACAAAGAGAAGCGACCUCGCGAGAGCAAGCGGACCUCAUAAAGUGCGUCGUAGUCCGGAUUGGAGUCUGCAACUCGACUCCAUGAAGUCGGAAUCGCUAGUAAUCGUAGAUCAGAAUGCUACGGUGAAUACGUUCCCGGGCCUUGUACACACCGCCCGUCACACCAUGGGAGUGGGUUGCAAAAGAAGUAAGUAGCUUAACCUUCGGGAGGGCGCUUACCACUUUGUGAUUCAUGACUGGGGUGAAGUCGUAACAAGGUAAGCGUAGCGAG
rnacentral:rRNA from 1 species